rnacentral:rRNA from 1 species
UACGGGGGGGGCAAGCGUUGUUCGGAAUUACUGGGCGUAAAGGGCUCGUAGGCGGCCAACUAAGCCAGACGUGAAAUCCCUCGGCUUAACCGGGGAACUGCGUCUGAUACUGGUUGGCUUGAAUCCGGGAGAGGGAUGUGGAAUUCCAGGUGUAGCGGUGAAAUGCGUAGAUAUCUGGAGGAACACCGGUGGCGAAGGCGGCAUCCUGGACCGGUAUUGACGCUGAGGAGCGAAAGCCAGGGGAGCAAACGGG